rnacentral:rRNA from 1 species
AGAGUUUGAUCAUGGCUCAGAAUGAACGCUGGCGGCGUGCCUAACACAUGCAAGUCGAGCGAGAAAGUUCCUUCGGGAAUGAGUAAAGCGGCGGACGGGUGAGUAACACGUAAGAAUCUGCCCUAUAGUGAGGAAUACCCUUGAGAAAUUGAGGUUAAUACUGCAUAAGUCCCUGCGGGGAGAAAGGCGUCUUUUAUGUCGCCGCUAUAGGAUGAGCUUGCGGACUAUCAGCUUGUUGGUGAGGUAAAGGCUCACCAAGGCUAUGACGGUUAACCGGCCUGAGAGGGUGUACGGUCACAUAGGCACUGAGACACGGGCCUGACUCCUACGGGAGGCAGCAGUGGGGAAUAUUGCGCAAUGGGCGAAAGCCUGACGCAGCGACGCCGCGUGGAGGAUGAAGGUCUUAGGAUUGUAAACUCCUGUCAGAUGGAAAGAAAGGUUCGCGUUUAAUAGACGCGAAAUAUGACGGUACCAUCAGAGGAAGCACCGGCUAACUUCGUGCCAGCAGCCGCGGUAAUACGAAGGGUGCGAGCGUUAUUCGGAAUCACUGGGCGUAAAGGGUGCGUAGACGGUACAUUAAGUUUGUUGUUAAAGGCUCCAGCCUAACUGGAGUAUUGCGAUGAAAACUGGUGAGCUAGAGGGUGAGAGAGAGAAGUGGAAUUCCCGGAAGCGGUAAAAUGCGUGGAUCUCGGGAGGAACACCAAUGGCGAAGGCAGCUUCUUGGCUCAUUCCUGACGUUGAGGCACGAAAGCGUGGGGAGCAAACAGGAUUAGAUACCCUAGUAGUCC